rnacentral:misc_RNA from 1 species
AACAAUCAUAACAAAUCAUUAGAUUAUUUAUAUCCUUAUUUUAUAAACAUGAAUGAACAUUAAUGAUAUAUAUAUUACAUUUAUACCUUCGACUUAAUAGAAGGUGGAAAAGCAAGAGUGACCCAAGAGUGAUUAGAAUUCAGCGUGAACAGCACGGUGUUAUUGUUCAUCUAUUUAUAGGCACAGGACGUAGCCUGCACAAAAUUACAUUCAUGUCCCCGACAUUUACUGUUGACCAUAAGGCAAGCCGUCGAGGACUAAGCAGUCUUUUCUUCUUUAGGUCGGUUUCAUCUUUCACCAUCGUCCUCGUGCUAAGCCGAAGCUUCUUCAGCCACAACUUUGGAGCUAAUUUAUCCUUCCUCCAGACUGCACCUUCAUACCAUGCACACCUUAUUCUCAAAGCUGAAGCCUCCUUUCUUCUCGACGCAGUUGUGGUCGCGGCAGCAGGCGUCGAGGUCGUGCAGGUGCAGGGCUCCUCGCCGUCGCAGCCGCUCCAUCCCACACCGCAGUACUUACCGUAGCGGAUCCCAACGGCUGGCAUGGCGGCCGUAAAGGCGGCGGCCCUGCAAGCUGGAGCGCUGGGCUGCACAAUUAGCGGCGCGGGCCCCACAGUGGUGGCCGUCAUCCAAGGGGAGGAAAGGGGGGAGGAGGUUGCCCGCAAGAUGGUGGACGCGUUCUGGAGCGCAGGCAAGCUCAAGGCGACAGCAACCGUCGCGCAGCUCGAUACCCUUGGUGCCAGGGUCAUCGCCACGUCAUCCUUGAACUAGCAAAAGAUUCGGAAAGUGGUACUGCAAUUGUAUCACCAAACAAGGAAGAAUGAAGGGGAACCCCAUGGAUUUGUAUGUUUUCUCUUCUUUCUUGCAUCUUUAGGUG